GGUGGUUCUUUGGUGAUGCACCCAGACUGGGCUCCCUCCUCUCUGGUUCCGGGUGCAUCACCCAAGAACUGAA
rfam:Myotis lucifugus cont2.117, whole genome shotgun sequence.